rnacentral:rRNA from 1 species
ACACCGUAUUCUGUGAGUUGCGAACGGGUGAGUAACGCGUAGGUAACCUGCCUGGUAGCGGGGGAUAACUAUUGGAAACGAUAGCUAAUACCGCAUAAGAACAUUUACUGCAUGGUAGAUGUUUAAAAGGUGCAAAAGCAUCACUACCAGAUGGACCUGCGUUGUAUUAGCUAGUUGGUGAGGUAACGGCUCACCAAGGCAACGAUACAUAGCCGACCUGAGAGGGUGAUCGGCCACACUGGGACUGAGACACGGCCCAGACUCCUACGGGAGGCAGCAGUAGGGAAUCUUCGGCAAUGGGGGGAACCCUGACCGAGCAACGCCGCGUGAGUGAAGAAGGUUUUCGGAUCGUAAAGCUCUGUUGUUAAGGAAGAACGUGUGUGAGAGUGGAAAGUUCACACAGUGACGGUACUUAACCAGAAAGGGACGGCUAACUACGUGCCAGCAGCCGCGGUAAUACGUAGGUCCCGAGUGUUGUCCGGAUUUAUUGGGCGUAAAGCGAGCGCAGGCGGUUAGAUAAGUCUGAAGUGAAAGGCAGUGGCUCAACCAUUGUAGGCUUUGGAAACUGUUUAACUUGAGUGCAGAAGGGGAGAGUGGAAUUCCAUGUGUAGCGGUGAAAUGCGUAGAUAUAUGGAGGAACACCGGUGGCGAAAGCGGCUCUCUGGUCUGUAACUGACGCUGAGGCUCGAAAGCGUGGGGAGCGAACAGGAUUAGAUACCCUGGUAGUCCACGCCGUAAACGAUGAGUGCUAGGUGUUAGGUCCUUUCCGGGACUU